rnacentral:lncRNA from 1 species
AUGCUGUUGAAUAUUAAUCCUCUCAAAAAAAAGUUUGAAGAAAUUUUCUUUUUAUUUAUGAAAUCUGAAAUGAGAAAAAUUUAACCCCCCCCUUUUUUCACAUCCCCGUUUCCCUUUUUCCAAAACUGAUAUCAAUUCAAAUUUCUAAUGGAGUUUGCAACAAUAACUACUCUUUUAAAUACAUCAUAAAAUAUUAAAAUGUAAAAUAAAGUGCUUGUUAUCACUGAAUGGUAAAGAUUGGUUGGUAGUAAAAGUGAAUAUACAUUGUUUAUUGUAUAAAACAAUAAAAAAAAAC